rnacentral:rRNA from 1 species
GAUCAUGGCUCAGGAUGAACGCUGGCGGCGUGCCUAACACAUGCAAGUCGAACGGAGUUCUUAAGGAAUGCGACUUCGGUCAAAUGACUUUUGAACUUAGUGGCGGACGGGUGAGUAACGCGUGAGCAACCUGCCUUUCAGAGGGGGAUAACAUUUGGAAACAGAUGCUAAUACCGCAUAAGAUUACAGUACCGCAUGAUACAGUGAUCAAAGGAGCAAUCCGCUGAAAGA